AACGAACGCUGGCGGCAUGCCUAACACAUGCAAGUCGAACGAAGCCUUCGGGCUCAGUGGCGCACGGGUGCGUAACGCGUGGGAAUCUGCCCUUUGGUUCGGAAUAACAGUUGGAAACGACUGCUAAUACCGGAUGAUGACGAAAGUCCAAAGAUUUAUCGCCAGAGGAUAAGCCCGCGUAGGAUUAGCUAGUUGGUGUGGUAAAGGCGCACCAAGGCGACGAUCCUUAGCUGGUCUGAGAGGAUGAUCAGCCACACUGGGACUGAGACACGGCCCAGACUCCUACGGGAGGCAGCAGUGGGGAAUAUUGGACAAUGGGCGAAAGCCUGAUCCAGCAAUGCCGCGUGAGUGAUGAAGGCCCUAGGGUUGUAAAGCUCUUUUACCCGGGAUGAUAAUGACAGUACCGGGAGGAUAAGCCCCGGCUAACUCCGUGCCAGCCGCCGCCGUAA
rnacentral:rRNA from 1 species